AAUCUCAAUCCCAUCUGGUUUAUGACCAGGUGUUGGACUUGGACAUGGGUGUCUGCCAGUCACAUGGCUCACCUUAAAUGACUUAGUGGGAUCGCUUGCAUCUGUGACAGACGUAAUAAGUUUCGUCUCUCCUUGUGGUGAUGACUGCUCAUAAUCUGCCAUCGCGCACUUUUGA
rnacentral:misc_RNA from 1 species